UGAGUAACGCGUGGAUAACCUGCCUCACACUGGGGGAUAACAGUUAGAAAUGACUGCUAAUACCGCAUAAGCGCACAGUACCGCAUGGUACAGUGUGAAAAACUCCGGUGGUGUGAGAUGGAUCCGCGUCUGAUUAGCCAGUUGGCGGGGUAACGGCCCACCAAAGCGACGAUCAGUAGCCGACCUGAGAGGGUGACCGGCCACAUUGGGACUGAGACACGGCCCAA
rnacentral:rRNA from 1 species